rnacentral:rRNA from 1 species
AUUGAACGCUGGCGGCAGGCCUAACACAUGCAAGUCGAACGGAGCGGCGGACGGGUGAGUAAUGCCUAGGAAUCUGCCUGGUAGUGGGGGAUAACGUCCGGAAACGGGCGCUAAUACCGCAUACUCUCAGAUGAGCCUAGGUCGGAUUAGCUAGUUGGUGGGGUAAAGGCCUACCAAGGCGAAGAUCCGUAACUGGCCUGAGAGGAUGAUCAGUCAAACUGGAACUGAGAAACGGUACAGACGCCGACGGGAGGCAGCAGUGGGGAAUAUUGGACAAUGGGCGAAAGCCUGAUACAGCCAUGCCGCGUGUGUGAAGAAGGUCUUCGGAUUGUAAAGCACUGUAAGUUGGGAGGCGGUACCAACAGAAUAAGCACCGGCUAACUUCGUGCCAGCAGCCGCGGUAAUAC